GAUGAACGCUGGCGGCGUGCCUAAUACAUGCAAGUCGAGCGAAUGGAUUAAGAGCUUGCUCUUAUGAAGUUAGCGGCGGACGGGUGAGUAACACGUGGGUGACCUGCCCAUAAGACUGGGAUAACUCCGGGAAACCGGGGCUAAUACCGGAUAACAUUUUGAACCGCAUGGUUCGAAAUUGAAAGGCGGCUUCGGCGGUCACCUAUGGAUGAGCCCGCGUCGCAUUAGCUAGUUGGUGAGGUAAAGGCUCACCAAGGCAACGAGGCGUAGCCGACCUGAGAGGGUGAUCGGCCACACUGGGACUGAGACACGGCCCAGACUCCUACGGGAGGCAGCAGUAGGGAAUCUUCCGCAAUGGACGAAAGUCUGACGGAGCAACGCCGCGUGAGUGAUGAAGGCUUUCGGGUCGUAAAACUCUGUUGUUAGGGAAGAACAAGUGCUAGUUGAAUAAGCUGGCACCUUGACGGUACCUAACCAGAAAGCCACGGCUAACUACGUGCCAGCCGCCGCAGUAA
rnacentral:rRNA from 1 species